AAGUGGUUUGAUUCAUCCGAUAC
rnacentral:siRNA from 1 species